rnacentral:misc_RNA from 1 species
AACACUGUUAACCUGCGGUACCUGCGGAGGGAUCAUUACCGAGUUUACAACUCCCAAACCCCUGUGAACAUACCUAUACGUUGCCUCGGCGGAUCAGCCCGCGCCCUGUAAAAAGGGACGGCCCGCCCGAGGACCCUAAACUCUGUUUUUAGUGGAACUUCUGAGUAAAACAAACAAAUAAAUCAAAACUUUUAGCAAUGGAUCU